GCCGGGCGCGGUGGCGGGUACCUGUAGUCCCAGCUACACGGGAGGCUGAGGCAGGAGAAUGGCGUGAACCCGGGAGGCGGAGCUUGCAGUGAGUGGAGAUAGCGCCACUGCACUCCAGCCUGGGUGACAGAGCGAGACUCCGUCUCAAAAAAAAAAAAAGGAAAAAAAAAAUUUUUUUUUUUUUUUUUGAGACGGAGUCUCGCUCUGUGGCCCAGGCUGGAGUGCAGUGGCCGGAUCUCAGCUCACUGCAAGCUCCGCCUCCCGGGUUCACGCCAUUCUCCUGCCUCAG
rnacentral:SRP_RNA from 1 species